GUUUUUACACGUGGCAACAACCCAUUAAUCUUAGCUAAAACCUCAAUAAAUAACUGACUGUACCUGACUUUUCAUAGUGUCACAGGCAUAACACCAGCCAACCCAACUCAAGCUCUCGACUGCUCUUUCUUCUUGUCUCUUCUCUUGUUCAAGUAAUUUGGUUUCUGCAAUACUUUUUCCUUUUUCUUUCUUUCUUUCUUCCGUAGAUGGACUCUGUGUUUCUUGAUAUUGGCUGAUUCUAAUUUACAUAAGCAAGUGACGGGAAUUCGGCACUUUUUAUUGGUACCUGUAUACGCAUGGCUAAUAUCUCUUUUUAUUAUUAGAUUUCAAUCAAAAUCGAAAAAGCUAAUCUCACCAUAGUCGAAACUCAAUGUUAUGGUUCUAAUUUUUUUUUUCAUCAAUCUUCCAUAGCUUUACUUAAGUUCUUUCUUUCUUUCUUUUUAAUAUUUUUCUAUAGAUUAGAAGGAUUUGUGUUCUGAGAGGACUAAGGCUAAUAAUAAAGCUGAAUUCCCGGCCUGGAUCUUAGUCCAGGAAGUGUGGAAGGCAAGUAUGGAACCGUUGUGUGAGUUCUGUGGGACGGUAAGGGCAGUAGUUUAUUGCAAAUCAGACUCGGCGAGGCUGUGCUUGCAGUGUGACGGAUUUGUACAUUCUGCAAAUUCUUUAUCCCGAAGGCAUCCUCGUUCACUUCUCUGUGAUAAGUGCAACUCGCAGCCUGCAAUUCUCCGGUGUUUAGAUGACAAGUUGUCUAUUUGUCAAACCUGUGAUUGGAAUAAUGCAAAUGGUUGCUCGAGCUUGGGGCAUCGCCUCCAAGCGUUGUCUUGUUAUACGGGACGACCUUCUUUGGUAGAGUUUUCCAGGAUUUGGUCUUCUGUUCUUGAUGCUUCUCCUUCUACAACAACUAGUUAUGAUCCUGCAGAAUUGGGGACGUCACUUGCUUCUCUACCAGGAAAUGAGAAUUCCAUGAUUAGUAGUUGUUUGAAGCACGAGGAUAAUGAAGGCUGCUUUGGACUGUUAACUAGCAAGUUGAAUGAAUUAGAACCUUGGAUGGGGCCGCCUACUGUCGACCCACUGGGUCCGAAUUCCAUCCCUUAUUGUAGAGAUCAAGUGUCUCUCUUGCCAGAGGACUCAAACAUGCCAAAGGGUUGCUGCAAUUUCAAAGAUCUUGAAAUUCAUGACAAUGAAGAUCUAUGUGAAGGUCUCAACAUGGAUGAUGUUGCAUUAAUGAACUUUGAAAAUGGUGAUGAGAUAUUUGGAUGUCCUCAAGGUCACACCAGAUACCAGCUGGGGGAUGUUGGAAAGGAUUGUAUUUUAAUGGAGAAAAAUUUAUCAGUUACUGAAUCUAACAAUGGUCCUGUCGAGAAUGCUAGAGAGGUAACAUCAUCAGGACAGCAGGACUGCAUCACAUUCCAAUCCCCUCAGGUCGCCUGUUCAGCUGGUAUGAUGCAGGCAAUGAAUGGGAGCACUAGUUGCUUAUUUAUGAACCCAAGUUGCAACAGAAGUAUUAAUCUUGGAUUUCCCACUGGUACUGGACAAGUUCAUUCAAGCAUAUCUCUUUCACUAUCCAAUAUCACUGGUGAGAGUAGUGCUGCUGAUUAUCAAGAUUGUGGAUUAUCACCGGUGUUUUUGGCUAGUGAGUCCCCAUGGGAAUUGAAUUUGGAGACAAGCUGUCCACAAGCAAGGGACAAGGCUAAGAUGAGAUACAAUGAAAAGAAGAAGACACGAACAUUUGGUAAGCAAAUCAGAUAUGCCUCUCGUAAAGCCAGGGCUGAUACUAGAAAACGUGUCAAAGGUAGAUUUGUAAAAGCUGGUGAAGCAUAUGAUUAUGACCCUCUUGUUCCAAGGAAUUUCUGAUCAGCCAUAUUGCUAAAUCUUUGCCCUUUACAUAAGAGUACAAAGGGUGAAAAUUUUAAGGUCUGAUGAUUCUUUCUAGGUUUUCAAGAGGGGUUGAGAAUAAUGGAUUUGAAGUUUUUCUUUAUAUUAAUAGUGCUGGAAUUCGCUGUGGAUCGAUUUGAGUUCUAAACGCUCAUCACAUUUGCGGCAACCUGUAAACUACAUCAAACUGUUAUCUUCUAUUAUGGUACUCAAAUCCUUGCAAUGGAUAAUGAUACUUCUCUAAAUGUAUCAUCCCUGCAUUCCACUCAGAAUAAUUUUCUUCACAAUUUACUGAUCAGUUUCUUACUCUUUGCUUGGGGCAUUUGUAAAGGAUAUUCAUCCUGGGGACACAAAUGGUGAAGAACAUCAAGAUGUUCAUAGCAUUCUAUUGGAGACCUUAUAGUUCCUUUGCUUUUGCUACCCUUGUCAUAGAGAACAAGUCUUUGUGCAAUUCAAUUUUGGUUACUCUAGGUGGACUGUCUAUCCAUUUCUGUUCCAUUGUAAUAAACUUUGAUUGAAUCUGUAGCUAUUACAUUGAAAUUUUGCUUGUAAUAAACUUUGUUUGGUAUUUAGUUACUAAUAAUUGAAAAAAAAAAUUCACUUUGCACGGG
rnacentral:misc_RNA from 1 species